AGUCUUAUAUUCAUAAAUGAUAUAAAAUUGCAAAUUUUAAGGUGUAGUAUAUACUAAGGCUU
rnacentral:tRNA from 1 species